AGUGAACGCUGGCGGUAGGCCUAACACAUGCAAGUCGAACGGCAGCACAGUAAGAGCUUGCUCUUACGGGUGGCGAGUGGCGGACGGGUGAGGAAUACAUCGGAAUCUACUUUUUCGUGGGGGAUAACGUAGGGAAACUUACGCUAAUACCGCAUACGACCUACGGGUGAAAGCAGGGGAUCUUCGGACCUUGCGCGAUUGAAUGAGCCGAUGUCGGAUUAGCUAGUUGGCGGGGUAAAGGCCCACCAAGGCGACGAUCCGUAGCUGGUCUGAGAGGAUGAUCAGCCACACUGGAACUGAGACACGGUCCAGACUCCUACGGGAGGCCGCAGUGGGGAAUAUUGGACGAUGGGCGAAAGCCUGAUACAGCCAUACCGCGUGGGUGAAGAAGGCCUUCGGGUUGUAAAGCGCUUUUGUUGGGAAAGAAAAGCAGCAGGUUAAUACCCCGCUGUUCUGACGGUACCCAAAGAAUAAGCACCGGCUAACUUCGUG
rnacentral:rRNA from 1 species